AACUCUGCGACGGGCGGCGACACAGCGCCGGGCUGAGGCAGCGCUGCUUUAUAUAGAAGCGCCAGGGACAUGCCCAGUGCCAGGGACGGCAGGGCGGGCCCAGGGGACCCACCCCAGCCCUCCUCCCACAGAAACCCGCCACCCGUCAGGAGAUCUACAGUCCUGGGGUUGGACCCGCAAGAGGCAGGGCACCGGGAGGGCCAGGGAGAGACAGAGGGACAGAAGGGAUCGUCGGAGACACAGACCGAGUCAAACAGAGGACCAGGUCAGCUGGACACGUGCAGUCUCCCCAAGACACCCAUCUUUACACCCAGUGCACCCACAGAAGCACGCCCCAAGAGAGCCUGCUCACAGGCACGAAUUCACCCCAAGAAACAUACCCAGAGACUCACACCCUCUGUUCAACAAGUGUGUGUCGUCACACCAGGGCCCAGGCACCAGGACAGCUCUGUGGGCAGAUGGUGGGCCUGGGCCCCCGAAACCUCACUCUGUGACCUUCCUUCAUCCUGUGCCUGAUGUAGUUCGUGGUGAGGAAUGAGUGAAUAAAGAAAACAAGAUGAAAUCAGUAUAGCUAGGCUGACUCAAAAUGGAGUCUGUAUAGUCAAGCUGACAAAACUGGUUCAGAUCAAACGAGCUGAAGCAUGAGAAAACGAUUUUAUUUUACUUUAACUAGCCUGAGGACUUAAACUUUUGAACUUUCCAGUUGUGCGUCAAUGCCUGGAGAGUUAGAAAUUCCUAUAGAUAGGACUUUGGAAAAAAUGAAGAACUUAGGAAAGAACGUUCACGUGUGCAGACCGCCUGACAUCUGGAAGAUCACCAUCGCCAAUCAACCCAGAGCCUAAGAAUGCAGGACUAAUUCUGCUCAAGAAUGUGCUUUUCACAAGAAUCACCCUCGGCUUUUCUUUCUUCUUCGGGACCCUCCGGCUAUUGCCUAGUCGUGUUUCCAGUUUGCAAACCCUAAGACCUUUGAAUAAAUCAUAAUCAUUUAUGUCUA